AAACCGGAGCGUUUGAAAAUUGCGGGUGGGGCAACACGGAUGUCAAGAGACUAUACUAUACUGACUUCGCCUUUCCGCUCUGGUUUCCGAGAUGAUCACAAAUAUCGACGAACUUAUUUACAGCCAUAAGAGGCUUUGAAAUAGUCUUCACUAACAACUCUUUGGGUGAAAACCGGAACGUAAAAUUAAUGCAUGUGUGAAGCAGCUAGUGAAGAUGUGUCUUCCUGGUAUCUUCAUUGUUACCCUGUUGACCCUCUCAAUUCCUGCUGUCCAUGUUGGGAAAGUCCUGGUGUUUCCUCAAGACGGCAGCCACUGGAUCAACAUGAAGGUCAUUAUUGAAGCGCUGCAUUCAAGAGGUCACAGUGUGUCAGUAGUACGGCCAUCAGACAGCUGGUACAUCAAGGAAACCUCCCCUCACUACAGUUCAAUCACAAUUGAUAUUCCAGGUGGAGCUGAUGAGCAAUUCUUUAGCUCAUUUGUGUCAAGACAAAUACAGAUACAGAGAGAGGGAAAGUCUGCUUGGACUCGUUUUAGUUUGGACAUGGAGUUGAAGGACAGAUUUUCUGAAAUGCACCGCAAAGUGUGUGAGAUGGUAAUCCAAAUGUUAGAGAAUGAACCGUUGAUGCAGUCUAUUAGAGAAACCAAGUAUGACUUGGUUCUGACAGACCCAGCCAAUGGGGGAGGUGUUGUGCUGGCACACUAUUUAAAUGUGCCCCUUGUUUUCAAUGUUCGAUGGACUAUACAUGGUGAGGCUCAUUUUGCUAUUGCUCCCUCUCCACUAUCGUAUGUUCCAUUUCCUGUUGCAGAGUUAACAGACAAUAUGAGUUUUUUUCAGAGGGUCCGUAACUUCCUAGUUUAUGUCAUCAGGCAGCAUCUGUACAAACAGACAGUGGGGCCUCAUUAUUCCGCUUUGGUUAGUCGUUACUUUAGUCCUGAGGUCGACUACUUCUCAUUGUUUCAAGCUGCUGAUUUAUGGCUCAUGAGAGUUGACUUUGUGUUUGAGUUCCCUCGUCCCACCAUGCCUAAUGUUAUCUAUAUGGGAGGGUUCCAAUGUAAACCUGCCAAGCCUCUUCCCCAAGAACUGGAGGAGUUUGCUCAGAGUUCUGGAGAGCAUGGAAUCAUUAUCAUGUCUUUGGGGACUUUAAUUGGACAACUUCCACAUGAUAUAACUGAUGAGAUAGCUGCUGCUUUUUCCCAACUGCCUCAGAAGGUAAUCUGGAGGUACAAAGGAGACAGGCCAGCUACUCUGGGUAACAACACCUUACUAGUUGACUGGAUGCCUCAGAAUGAUCUUUUAGGACACCCUAAGACAAGGCUGUUUGUAGCUCAUGGAGGAACAAAUGGGAUUUUUGAGGCUAUCUACCACAGUGUUCCAAUAGUAGGCCUUCCUCUGGUGUUCGACCAACCUGACAAUCUUUCUAGAAUGAAAGUGAAGGGUGUAGCAAAGGUUGUGGAUUUAGCAACUCUAGAUAGAAACAUUUUCACCCGAGCCUUACAGGAAGUUCUGAAUGAGCCGUCCUACAGGAUGAACAUGCAGAGACUCUCCAGGCUACACCGGGAUGUGCCAAUGGGACCCCUGGACACUGCCCUCUUCUGGAUUGAGUUUGUCAUGAGACACAAAGGUGCUGCUCACCUGCGUACAGAGUCCUACAGAAUGCCCUGGUACUCCUACCACUCUGUAGAUGUAAUGGUGUUUCUACUGGCUGUUGUGUUAUUUACUCUGCUGGCUUUCAUUGGCAUUAUCAGAUGUUUCUGUUGCAGGGCAUGUUUGAAAAUAAAAAUGAAAGCGGAAUGAUUAUGGA